rnacentral:lncRNA from 1 species
AGAAGAGGAUAGAGCAGGGGAUAGAGAAGAGGAUAGAGCAGGGGGAUAGAGAAGAGGAUAGAGCAGGGGAUAGAGAAGAGGAUAGAGCAGGGGGUAUAGAAGAGGAUAGAGCAGGGGAUAGAGAAGAGGAUAGAGCAGGGGAUAGAGAAGAGGAUACAGUAGGGGAUAGAGAAGAGGAUAGAGCAGGGGAUAGAGAAGAGGAUAGAGCAGGGGAUAGAGAAGAGGAUAGAGAGGGGGAUAGAGAAGAGGAUAGAGCAGGGGGAUAGAGAAGAGGAUAGAGUAGGGGGAUAGAGAAGAGGAUAGAGCAGGGGGAUAGAGAAGAGGAUAGAGUAGGGGAUAGAGAAGAGGAUAGAGCAGGGGAUAGAGAAGAGGAUAGAGCAGGGGGAUAGAGAAGAGGAUAGAGCAGGGGAUAGAGAAGAGGAUAGAGCAGGGGGAUAGAGAAGAGGAUAGAGCAGGGGAUAGAGAAGCGGAUAGAGCAGGGGGAUAGAGAAGAGGAUAGAGCAGGGGGAUAGAGAGGAGGAUAGAGCAGGGGGAUAGAGAAGAGGAUAGAGCAGGGGUUAGAGCAGGGGAUAGAGAAGAGGAUAGAGCAGGGGAUAGAGAAGAGGAUAGAGCAGGGGGAUAGAGAAGAGGAUAGAGUAGGGGAUAGAGAAGAGGAUAGAGCAGGGGGAUAGAGAAGAGGAUAGAGUAGGGGGAUAGAGAAGAGGAUAGAGUAGGGGAUAGAGAAGAGGAUAGAGCAGGGAUGAUAGAGAAGAGGAUAGAGCAGGGAUGAUAGAGAAGAGGAUAGAGCAGGGGGAUAGAGAAGAGGAUAGAGCAGGGGAUAGAGAAGUGGAUAGAGCAGGGGAUAGAGAAGAGGAUAGAGCAGGGGAUAGAGAAGAGGAUAGAGCAGGGGAUUGAGAAGAGGAUAGAGUAGGGGAUAGAGAAGAGGAUAGAGCAGGGGAAUAGAGAAGUGGAUAGAGCAGGGGAUAGAGAAGCGGAUAGAGCAGGGGGAUAGAGAAGAGGAUAGAGUAGGGGAUAGAGAAGAGGAUAGAGCAGGGGGAUAGAGAAGAGGAUAGAGCAGGGGAUAGAGAAGAGAAUAGAGCAGGGGAUAGAGAAGAGGAUAGAGCAGGGGGAUAGAGAAGAGGAUAGAGUAGGGGAUAGAGAAGAGGAUAGAGCAGGUGAUAGAGAAGCGGAUAGAGCAGGGGAUAGAGAAGAGGAUAGAGCAGGGGAUAGAGAAGCGGAUAGAGCAGGGGGAUAGGGAAGAGGAUAGAGCAGGGGAUAGAGAAGAGGAUAGAGCAGGGGAUAGAGAAGGGGAUAGAGCAGGGGAUAGAGAAGAGGAUAGAGCAGGGGAUAGAGAAGAGGAUAGAGCAGGGGGAUAGAGAAGAGGAUAGAGCAGGGGGAUAGAGAAGAGGAUAGAGCAGGG